GACGCGGUGGCCUAAUGGUAAUUAGCGCGCUGAGCUCGGGCCCGAGCGGCCCGGGUUUCGAGCCCUGGGCGGGGUGACUGUGUUU